rnacentral:rRNA from 1 species
CCUACGGGUGGCAGCAGUGAGGAAUAUUGGUCAAUGGGCGCGAGCCUGAACCAGCCAAGUAGCGUGAAGGAUGACUGCCCUACGGGUUGUAAACUUCUUUUAUAGAGGAAUAAAGUGAGGCACGUGUGCCUUUUUGAAUGUACUUUAUGAAUAAGGAUCGGCUAACUCCGUGCCAGCAGCCGCGGUAAUACGGAGGAUCCGAGCGUUAUCCGGAUUUAUUGGGGUUAAAGGGAGCGGAGGUGGGGUGUUAAGGCAGUUGUGAAAGUUUGCGGCUCAACCGUAAAAUGGCAAUUGAUACUGGCAGCCUUGAGUACAGUAGAGGUAGGCGGAAUUCGUGGUGUAGCGGUGAAAUGCUUAGAUAUCACGAAGAACUCCGAUUGCGAAGGCAGCCUACUAACCUGCCACUGACAUUGAUGCUCGAAAGUGUGGGUAUCAAACAGGAUUAGAUACCCCUGUAGUC